AUUGAACGCUGGCGGCAGGCCUAACACAUGCAAGUCGAGCGGAUGAAGGGAGCUUGCUCCUGGAUUCAGCGGCGGACGGGUGAGUAAUGCCUAGGAAUCUGCCUGGUAGUGGGGGAUAACGUCCGGAAACGGGCGCUAAUACCGCAUACGUCCUGAGGGAGAAAGUGGGGGAUCUUCGGACCUCUCGGUAUCAGAUGAGCCUAGGUCGGAUUAGCUAGUUGGUGGGGUAAAGGCCUACCAAGGCGACGAUCCGUAACUGGUCUGAGAGGAUGAUCAGUCACACUGGAACUGAGACACGGUCCAGACUCCUACGGGAGGCAGCAGUGGGGAAUAUUGGACAAUGGGCGAAAGCCUGAUCCAGCCAUGCCGCGUGUGUGAAGAAGGUCUUCGGAUUGUAAAGCACUUUAAGUUGGGAGGAAGGGCAGUAAGUUAAUACCUUGCUGUUUUGACGUUACCAACAGAAUAAGCACCGGCUAACUUCGUG
rnacentral:rRNA from 1 species